CUUAAAAGUUUGAAUCAGUCCACACGGCUUUGUGGUUGGGAAAAAUUCUGAUUGGAUGAGUUCUGUUUUCUACUUCAUUGUACAGAGUAAAUACAAUAAACAGGGGAAAAUAAUUCAAGCAAGUCACAAAUAAAAACCAAUAUAACUUUGGGCAUGUUUUAAAAAAUUAUGCUUUGAAAGUCAUAGAAUGUACGCCUUUGGGUAAAGCUCUGGGGAGAGGCAGGAAGGCAGAGCCAAAACAAGAAGAGAAAUCUGCCAUUUCUUAAGUGCUAAGCACUGCGUCUGCAUUAGCUCCUUUAAUUCUAUGCCUGCCCUGGGACUUGCUGCUGCUCUGCACCCCCUGGAAAGAGCUUUGUACUGGAUGAUGUGGCAAAUAUAACGACAGACCUGGCAGUCUCCAGCCCUACAUCCAUAUUCCUACUCUUCCAGAAGGGUGAAGUUGGACAACUUACCCAAUUUUAUUUUCCUGUUUGUUAAACGCAGACAUAAAUAUAUGCAUCUCAGGGGACCACUGUAUGGAUUAAAGGAGUCACACUUACCCAUCAACUGGCGCACAACAGGUACCCAGGGUGAAGCUUGACAGGAAAUGCUAGGAAGUCUUUGUGGCAACUGCUGAUGGAGGUUACGAGAACGUGGCAAGCACAGACCAAAAGAGGCAAGUUUCCAUAUUUUUUUCCCAGAUGUCCAAGUGUCCUCCAUUCUGAUCUCAGAGGUAAGUCAUUCAACUUAAUUUGGAGGUGUUGGAGUUCUUAGCUC
rnacentral:lncRNA from 12 species